GAAUAUUGUGUAAUGAUAUAUUACUCUGUUUCAUUAUUUAAGUCAUGACAUUCCUUUUGUAGUCUCCAGAGCUAUUUACAACAUCUCUUAUUCUUGCAAUACCAAAAGCUAUUUAUAAUGCCGGCAUAGAGGCUUCUCAAGUUGAUUUUUAUGAAAUCAAUGAAGCUUUUGCGGUUGUGGCUCUUGCAAACCAGAAGUUGCUUGGCCUAGAUCUACACUUGGUCAUCUUCCGGUGUGAGGCCCUUAGCUGUGCAUUCCCAGCUUCUUUAGCCCAAGUAAUCCUUGCGACAAACACCAACAAUAUGAUCACCCAACCAACCAUCCUAAUGAAUAAUCCUGUGAGCAAUCUGCCAAGUCACAGAUGAACUCUAGAUGCCAUUUUGCACCAUCA